AUUGAACGCUGGCGGCAGGCCUAACACAUGCAAGUCGAGCGGAUGAAGGGAGCUUGCUCCUGGAUUCAGCGGCGGACGGGUGAGUAAUGCCUAGGAAUCUGCCUGGUAGUGGGGGAUAACGUCCGGAAACGGGCGCUAAUACCGCAUACGUCCUGAGGGAGAAAGUGGGGGAUCUUCGGACCUCACGCUAUCAGAUGAGCCUAGGUCGGAUUAGCUAGUUGGUGGGGUAAAGGCCUACCAAGGCGACGACCCGUAACUGGUCUGAGAGGUUGAUCAGUCACACUGGAACUGAGACACGGUCCAGACUCCUACGGGAGGCAGCAGUGGGGAAUAUUGGACAAUGGGCGAAAGCCUGAUCCAGCCAUGCCGCGUGUGUGAAGAAGGUCUUCGGAUUGUAAAGCACUUUAAGUUGGGAGGAAGGGCAGUAAGUUAAUACCUUGCUGUUUUGACGUUACCAACAGAAUAAGCACCGGCUAACUUCGUG
rnacentral:rRNA from 1 species